rnacentral:rRNA from 1 species
GAUGAACGCUGGCGGCGUGCCUAAUACAUGCAAGUCGAGCGAACAGACGAGGAGCUUGCUCCUUUGACGUUAGCGGCGGACGGGUGAGUAACACGUGGGUAACCUACCUAUAAGACUGGGAUAACUUCGGGAAACCGGAGCUAAUACCGGAUAAUAUUUCGAACCGCAUGGUUCGAUAGUGAAAGAUGGCUUUGCUAUCACUUAUACAUGGACCUGCGCCGUAUUAGCUAGUUGGUAAGGUAACGGCUUACCAAGGCAACGAUACGUAGCCGACCUGAGAGGGUGAUCGGCCACACUGGAACUGAGACACGGUCCAGACUCCUACGGGAGGCAGCAGUAGGGAAUCUUCCGCAAUGGGCGAAAGCCUGACGGAGCAACGCCGCGUGAGUGAUGAGGGUCUUCGGAUCGGAAAACUCUGUUAUUAGGGAAGAACAAACGUGUAAGUAACUGUGCACGUCUUGACGGUACCUAAUCACAAAGCCACGGCUAACUACGUGCCCAGCAUCCGCGGUAAUACGUAGGUGGCAAGCGUUAUCCGGAAUUAUUGGGCGUACAGCGCGCGUAGGCGGUUUUUUAGUCUGAUGUGAAAGCCCACGGCUCAACCGUGGAGGGUCAUUGGAAACUGGAAAACUUGAGUGCAGAAGAGGAAAGUGGAAUUCCAUGUGUAGCGGUGAAAUGCGCAGAGAUAUGGAGGAACACCAGUGGCGAAGGCGACUUUCUGGUCUGUAACUGACGCUGAUGUGCGAAAGCGUGGGGAUCAAACAGGAUUAGAUACCCUGGUAGUCCACGCCGUAAACGAUGAGUGCUAAGUGUUAGGGGGUUUCCGCCCCUUAGUGCUGCAGCUAACGCAUUAAGCACUCCGCCUGGGGAGUACGACCGCAAGGUUGAAACUCAAAGGAAUUGACGGGGACCCGCACAAGCGGUGGAGCAUGUGGUUUAAUUCGAAGCAACGCGAAGAACCUUACCAAAUCUUGACAUCCUUUGACCCUUCUAGAGAUAGAAGUUUCCCCUUCGGGGGACAAAGUGACAGGUGGUGCAUGGUUGUCGUCAGCUCGUGUCGUGAGAUGUUGGGUUAAGUCCCGCAACGAGCGCAACCCUUAAGCUUAGUUGCCAUCAUUAAGUUGGGCACUCUAAGUUGACUGCCGGUGACAAACCGGAGGAAGGUGGGGAUGACGUCAAAUCAUCAUGCCCCUUAUGAUUUGGGCUACACACGUGCUACAAUGGACAAUACAAAGGGCAGCGAAACCGCGAGGUCAAGCAAAUCCCAUAAAGUUGUUCUCAGUUCGGAUUGUAGUCUGCAACUCGACUACAUGAAGCUGGAAUCGCUAGUAAUCGUAGAUCAGCAUGCUACGGUGAAUACGUUCCCGGGUCU